UCAUAGGCAGUUCAAUUUUUUUUUGACGUGCAGUCAAACAACAAUAGUAAGAUUAAAGCAGCUUAAAUAAAGCAAAUAAUAUGAACUUUGCCGAAUGAAUGUGUAGAAGCAGAUAGCCUGGGAUCCAGACGAGUUUUCAUAUUUUGCCCCUAUUGCUGCUUUGAUGGACUUUGACCAUGCUGUCCCGGAGCGAGGCAGCUUCAGCCCCGGGGAAACUACUUCCCUGCUCCCCAACUACGCAAAAUUCAUCGGUAACCGGUGUUGGCGGCAGGCCCCGAGGUGGAAGAUGCCAGAGAGAUCUGCUGAGGGACUGGAAGCUGGACAAAGCUGACGUGAAGUUUACCGGCAGCUGUGACUGACUGGCGGCGUGUCCGCAGUCACAGCUGCCGCUGAAGGAGAAGGCAGAUCGGCCAGCGGAAAUGUCGGCAUGUCGCCGGUGAAGCAUCAGGAGGACCGGCCGCAGUCACUGUCCAGAACAGCCAGUGUCUCUGCCCCAGCACCAGCUCCACGUUGGGGGCAGCAGCCCACACUGGUUACCGAUGAAUUUUGCAAAAAUGAAAAUAAUUCAGAGUUAGUUCUGGUCCCUUGUAUUAAUAUCCUUAGGAACCAUGUGCAAUGAUUUAGCUUCCUCAUUUGUCUCUUGUUGAUCGCUCAGCAACGGAAUGAUGGUGUACAAAGCAGCAUGUAACAACAUUUGAUUCAUGGAGCCAGUUCACUUCCAUUCCAUGUUAUUGAAUGAUUGAAAAGCUAUUCAUCCGACAAAGCUGCCUCACUUCACAAAGAGAGGAAAACCAUCCCAACUGUUCCAGUGAAGAAUCAGCCAUGUAGCCAUCACCAUUUUGCUUGCAGACAAUGUCGACUAAAACCCAGGAUCGAGCACCAACUGCAGCGAACCACAGUCCUCUAAUGUUUCCAUCAGACAAGGUCCUUCAGGAAUCAGGGCUCCUUGCCUCUGGGGAACAUCUGUAACUGGACCAACCUGAACCACACAGUCUCGGGGACCACAUUCAUCCAGGACACUGACUAUGUGGAACCAGUCUGUCCGUAAUGCUUCAUAUGGAUAUCAGCGAUGAUACUGAAUGAUUAAUUACUGGUAAUGCUAGGUUCAGGAGGUAGAGUCGGUCAUCCACUAACCUGAACAUACUCUCCUCCACCAAAAAACGGAGGAGUGUAUUAGGAUGUAUAAGGUUAUAUUAAAGACCGCAGACCUCUAGCGGUAGUUAUGUACAAAGCCCCCAGAGGUCAGUGGUGGACCUGGUGAGUCCGACACAUUUGUGUAUUUCAAUGGAUUGUCUUAUAUUCUGCAAAGUAAUCGUGCUGAUAACCUGCCAUGUCACCCUAACCAUAACCUUUACCAUACCAAGCUCAUCAACCAUACAUAGUUCUUCAUAUGGUAAACAGACUCUAUUUAUAUAGCCACUUA